CCUUGCCAGCCCGCUCAGAAACUUAAAGAAGUGACGGGGCCCGCACAAGCGGUGGAGCAGUGUGGUUUAAAUUCGAAGCAACGCGAAGAACCUUACCAGGCCUUGACAUGCAGAGAACUUUCCAGAGAUGGAUUGGUGCCUUCGGGAACUCUGACACAGGUGCUGCAUGGCUGUCGUCAGCUCGUGUCGUGAGAUGUUGGGUUAAGUCCCGCAACGAGCGCAACCCUUGCCAUUAGUUGCUACGAAAGGGCACUCUAAUGGGACUGCCGGUGACAAACCGGAGGAAGGUGGGGAUGACGUCAAGUCCUCAUGGCCCUUAUAGGUGGGGCUACACACGUCAUACAAUGGCUGGUACAGAGGGUUGCCAACCCGCGAGGGGGAGCCAAUCCCAUAAAGCCAGUCGUAGUCCGGAUCGCAGUCUGCAACUCGACUGCGUGAAGUCGGAAUCGCUAGUAAUCGCGGAUCAGAAUGUCGCGGUGAAUACGUUCCCGGGUCUU
rnacentral:rRNA from 1 species